AAAGUACAACUAAGGACAAAGAUCCGGUCUCUUUGCCUUAGAGGAAUCGUAUCAGGUUUUAUGGCAGGAUUUUGAUAUAGAAGAUCAGCCUGCGAUGCAUGCUCUUGAAAAUUAAAAGACAAUUUAAAUGUAAACUUUAAAUUUAAUUACAAGAAAUAGAUUACAUAGAGAUCUUACAAGUUUGCUUGGAUCCCGAGAGCCUUGUAGAAAGAAAGAAGGAAAAUAAAGAAAGAAAAUGUUUACAAUAUUGCUUUACAAUUGGAGAAAAUGGAAAAGAUUACAAGACAGGAAAAUUUCCUUAAGGUCUUGUUUGAUUUAUCGUAGAGAGAAUCCUUGCUCUUCCCCCUAAAAAAAAAAGACUCUGCCUUUCUUACGAGAGAGAGGAGAAUAAAUAAGCUGGAAGACUCGAGGCAAGAUCCACGAAUCUCGGGGGUCUUCAUGGGGCUUUU
rnacentral:lncRNA from 1 species